GGCAAAAGCUCAAAUUUGAAAUYUAGCACCUUCGGUGUUCGAGUUGUAAUUUGAAGAUGGUAACCUUGGGUUUGGCUCUUGUCUAUGUUCCUUGGAACAGGACGUCAUAGAGGGUGAGAAUCCCGUCUGAUGAGAUGCCCAUUCCUAUSUAAGGUKCUAUYGAAGAGUCGAGUUGUUUGGGAAUGCAGCUCUAAGUGGGUGGUAAAUUCCAUCUAAAGCUAAAUAUUGGCGAGAGACCGAUAGCGAACAAGUACAGUGAUGGAAAGAUGAAAAGAACUUUGAAAAGAGAGUGAAAAAGUACGUGAAAUUGUYGAAAGGGAAGGGCAUUAGAUCAGACUUGGUGUUUUACGAUUAUCUUCUCUUCUUGAGUUGUGCACUCGUAUUUCACUGGGCCAGCAUCGAUUCGGAUGSCAAGAUAAUGGCAGUUGAAUGUGGCUUCACUUCGGUGGAGUGUUAUAGCUUCUGCUGAUAUUGCCUGUCUGGAUCGAGGGCUGCGUCUUUUGACUAGGAUGCUGGCG
rnacentral:rRNA from 1 species